ACACGGCAGAUAACUUUCCAUCUGUGCUGGCGAGCGGCGGACGGGUGAGUAAUGCCUAGGGAUCUGCCCAGUCGAGGGGGAUAACAGUUGGAAACGACUGCUAAUACCGCAUACGCCCUACGGGGGAAAGGAGGGGACCUUCGGGCCUUCCGCGAUUGGAUGAACCUAGGUGGGAUUAGCUAGUUGGUGAGGUAAUGGCUCACCAAGGCGACGAUCCCUAGCUGUUCUGAGAGGAUGAUCAGCCACACUGGGACUGAGACACG
rnacentral:rRNA from 1 species